rnacentral:rRNA from 1 species
GCGUGCCCUAAUACAUGCAGUCGAGCGAAUGGAUUGAGAGCUUGCUCUUAUGAAGUUAGCGGCGGACGGGUGAGUAACACGUGGGUAACCUGCCCAUAAGACUGGGAUAACUCCGGGAAACCGGGGCUAAUACCGGAUAAAAUUUUGAACUGCAUGGAUCGAAAUUGAAAGGCGGCUUCGGCUGUCACUUAUGGAUGGACCCGCGUCGCAUUAGCUAGUUGGUGAGGUAACGGCUCACCAAGGCGACGAUGCGUAGCCGACCUGAGAGGGUGAUCGGCCACACUGGGACUGAGACACGGCCCAGACUCCUACGGGAGGCAGCAGUAGGGAAUCUUCCGCAAUGGACGAAAGUCUGACGGAGCAACGCCGCGUGAGUGAUGAAGGCUUUCGGGUCGUAAAACUCUGUUGUUAGGGAAGAACAAGUGCUAGUUGAAUAAGCUGGCACCUUGACGGUACCUAACCAGAAAGCCACGGCUAACUACGUGCCAGCAGCCGCGGUAAUACGUAGGUGGCAAGCGUUAUCCGGAAUUAUUGGGCGUAAAGCGCGCGCAGGUGGUUUCUUAAGUCUGAUGUGAAAGCCCACGGCUCAACCGUGGAGGGUCAUUGGAAACUGGGAAACUUGAGUGCAGAAGAGGAAAGUGGAAUUCCAUU